AUUGAACGCUGGCGGCAGGCCUAACACAUGCAAGUCGAGCGGAUGAAGGGAGCUUGCUCCUGGAUUCAGCGGCGGACGGGUGAGUAAUGCCUAGGAAUCUGCCUGGUAGUGGGGGAUAACGUCCGGAAACGGGCGCUAAUACCGCAUACGUCCUGAGGGAGAAAGUGGGGGAUCUUCGGACCUCACGCUAUCAGAUGAGCCUAGGUCGGAUUAGCUAGUUGAUGGGGUAAAGGCCUACCAAGGCGACGAUCCGUAACUGGUCUGAGAGGAUGAUCAGUCACACUGGAACUGAGACACGGUCCCGACACCUACAGGAGGCAGCAGUGGGGAAUAUUGGACAAUGGGCGAGAGCCUGAUCCAGCCAUGCCGCGUGUGUGAAGAAGGUCUUCGGAUUGUAAAGCACUUUAAGUUGGGGGGAAGGGCAGUAAGUUAAUACCUUGCUGUUUUGACGUUACCAACAGAAUAAGCACCGGCUAACUUCGUG
rnacentral:rRNA from 1 species